CUUUUUUAACUAUAUAUCUGGGGGGGGGGCAAUUGCCCCCCCAGGGAAAGAAUUUGCCCCCCCCCCCCAGUAAAGCCAUUUCUGCCCCCGAAGUGCGAAGCAGAAUUGCUCAUGAUUGCUGUCAGAAUUGCAGUUGAUUUACUUGAUAAUGAGAUCAUGCCCUUCCAUAGCCUCCUCCACAGCCAAUCUUGUGUGUAAUUCAUAUUGUUCUUCACCGAGUAUUUCAUAAUAGCGAUAUAGAUUUCAUGCAAACAAUCCG